GCUUUUUUUGGCACUCUUACCUUAACUAUUCGUAGUUAAUGCUUAACCUUAAGAUUUUGGAGAUAAUGUAUAAAUUUAACCCUGACCUCAAAAAGUUAAUGCCUAAACUUCACCUUAAAUACUUAGACAUUUGACAUUUGUAACAAUUUCGAAGUUUGACAGAAAUGGAUGAACGUCUAAUUCUGACUCGAGACUACGAGCUAAUUGACAAGUGCGUACUGGGCCAAGCAUGCCCUGAGCUCCUGAAGUGAAGUGAGCUCUACUGGAGCGAAAUUGGAGAGGGCGAGAAUGCCGGCGCUGCAGCCUUUGGGAAACUCGCUCUGCGCUCCAGUCAAAUUGGGCACGCUUCUCGCUCCGCUCACAUACUCUGGUCGGAAGACCAUGUUGACUUUGUAGAAACACAAGUCAUGGAAACGUUGAGAAAGAUAUCACUGCACAUGGAUACGCGAUACUACACUGGAUUUUGGCGGCACAGCAGUAGUUAAGUUUAUUCCGGGUCGAUACUGAAUAAUAUAUAUAGUCUCUGGGGCCUCGCAGAUCAUCUGAAAAUGAUGAGCAUUUUUUCCCAAACACACAUCCAUACGGUGUGCCACAAGUGCAUAAAGCUAAAGGUGGAUAGAUGGACAAAGUUGGAUCCACAAAGGUUUUGCAGACCAUGAAGGAACCAUGAAGAUAUUCACAUCCAAGAAAAGUCAUUUUAUACCUUUUAUCUGAUAAGAAUGGAACUCUCCUGAUGUUCUAUUGCAUACUCAUUAUUAGGCAUGUUAUUCUUAUACACCCUCUUUUUCUGUUCUAAAAAGCUGUUACACUUUUAAAGCUAAACAUAUGUGUUUAAGGCUGACACAAUGAACACUAAGUUCAUUGUCUCUCUUAUUUGUUUUGCUACAUAAGCCCUUCCAUUACUCAUAAAACACCACUGCUACAUUACUAGCUACUCUCUAGUCAGAAAACUGUUUUAACAGAAAAUCUGGUUUAACAAAAACAUUAGGACAUUUACAUGAGACCAAUAUUUGAUUGUUGUACUUUACACCAUUUGUUCACAAAGUCUGCUUGUGACAAUAAAAAUAUUAGCAAUGGA